rnacentral:rRNA from 1 species
UACGUUGUCUGCUAUACGCAGGAAGACCCGU